rnacentral:rRNA from 1 species
UGCAAGUCGAACGAAGUAGCUUGCUACUUAGUGGCGAAAGGGUUAGUAAUACAUGAGUAACGUACCUCUUACCUGGGGAUAACGGCUGGAAACGGCCGCUAAUACCGAAUGAGAAGUGCUGGGGCAGCCCAGCUCCUUCAAAGUAGGGGACCCCUCGGGGCCUUACGGUAAGAGAGCGGCUCAUGGGAUAUCAGCUAGUUGGUGUGGUAAAGGCGCACCAAGGCUAAGACGUCUAGGCGGACUGAGAGGUUGACCGCCAACACUGGGACUGAGACACUGCCCAGACUCCUACGGGAGGCUGCAGUCGAGAAUCAUUCGCAAUGGGCGAAAGCCUGACGAUGCGACGCCGUGUGGACGAUGAAGGCCUUCGGGUUGUAAAGUCCUUUCGCAAGGGAACAAGAGAUAGUGACUAAUAAUCACUAAAUUUGAGGGUACCUUGUAAAGAAGCACCGGCUAACUCCGUGCCAGCAGCUGCGGUAAUACGGAGGGUGCAAGCAUUAAUCGGAUUUAUUGGGUGUAAAGAGCGCGUAGGCGGGUCAGCAAGUCAGAUGUGAAAUUCCGGAACUCAAUUCCGGAGCUGCAUUUGAAACUACUGAUCUUGAGGAUAGACGGAGAAAACGGAAUUCCACAUGUAGCGGUGAAAUGCGUAGAUAUGUGGAAGAACACCGGUGGCGAAGGCGGUUUUCUAGUUUAUUCCUGACGCUGAGGCGCGAGAGCAAGGGUAGCAAACAGGAUUAGAUA